ACGAACGUUGGCGGCCGUGGAUUAGGCAUGCAAGUCGAACGAGAACCCGGGGGCAACUCCGGGGGGAAAGUGGCGAAGGGGCAGUAAGGCGUGGGGUAACCUUACCCCGGGGACUGGGAUAGCCAUCCUAACGAGUGGGUAAUACCGGGCGAUGUGCCGGAGGGGCAUCUCUCUGUCACGAAAUUGAAUCUCAGCCUCGGAGGGGCUCACGCGGUAUUAGCUUGUUGGUAGGGUAACGGCCUACCAAGGCAAAGAUGCCUAGCGGGUGUUGAGAGCACGACCCGCGCCACUGGCACUGAGACACUGGCCAGACUCCUACGGGAGGCCUGCAGUCGAGGAUCUUCCGGCAAUGGGCGCAAGCCUGACCGAGCGACGCCGCGUGCGCGAUGAAGGCCUUCGGGUUGUAAAGCGCUGUCGAGGGGGAGGAAAGGCCCGCAAGGUUCUCUGACCUAUCCCUGGAGGAAGCACGGGCUAAGUUCGUGCCAGCAGCCGCGGUAAGACGAACCUGUGCGAACGUUGUUCGGAUUCACUGGGCUUUAAAGGCGCGUAGGCGGAUCACCAAGUCCGGGGGUGAAAUCUUUCGGCUCAACCGGAAAUUGCCUGGGAUACUGUGGUCUUGAGGGAGGGAGGGGCAUGCGGAACUUCCGGUGGAGCGGUGAAAUGCGUAGAUAGCGGAAGGAACGCCGGGGGGCGAAAGCGGCGUGCUGACCUCUUCUGACGCUGAGUGCGCGAAAGCCAGGGGAGCAAAACGGGAUUAGAUACCCCGGUAGUCCUGGCCCUAAACGAUGGGUACUAGGUAGUGGACUGACAUGGGUUCACUGCCGAAGCAAAAGUGCUAGUUACCCCGCCUGGGGAGUAUGGUCGCAAGGCUGAACAACUCAAAGGAAUUGACGGGGGGCUCACACAAGCGGUGGAGCAUGUUGCUUAAUUCGAGGCUAGAUCACGAAGAACCUUAUCCUGGGCUUGACAUGUUGCGAAAGCGCUGGGACAAGUAGCUGCCGGAAACGGCCAGCCAACGGUAUCCAGUCGGAACCCAGUACAGGUGCUGCAUGCUGUCGUCAGCUCGUGUCGUGAGAUGUUGGUUAAGUCCCGUAACGAGCGAAACCCUUGUCUCCAGUUGCCAGCGGGUCAUGCCGGGGACUCUGGAGAGACUGCCGGGUGUUUAAACCGGAGGAAGGCGGGGAUGACGUCAAGUCCUCAUGGCCUUUAUGCCCAGGGCUGCACACGUGCUACAAUGGCGUACACAGAGGGAUGCGAACCCGCGAGGGGGAGCCAAUCCCAAAAAAAUACGCCCCAGUUCAGAUCGAAGGCUGCAACUCGCCUUCGUGAAGUCGGAAUCGCUAGUAAUCGCAGGUCAGCAACACUGCGGUGAAUGUGUUCCUGAGCCUUGUACACACCGCCCGUCGAGCCACGAAAGUGAGGGGCGUCCGACAGUCGCUACGCCAACCGCAAGGGGGCAGGCGCCGAAGACGAAACUCAUGAUUGGGACU
rnacentral:rRNA from 1 species